UAAAUACUCCCUCCGUUCAGAAAUACUUAUCGGAGGAAUGAGAUAAAAAUGGAUAUAUCUAGAAUUAAAAUACGUCAAGAUACAUCCAUGCUCCGACAAAUAUUUUCGGACGGAGGGAGUAUAGU
rfam:Triticum aestivum genome assembly, contig: Triticum_aestivum_CS42_TGACv1_scaffold_193705_3AL